GGAGUAAAAAGCACUAUAAAAUACACCAGGACUUUGACUAAUGUGGGCCCUACAGCAACGUAUAUGGUUUCAGUAUCUUCUCAAACUCCAUCCGUGAAUAUCUUGGUUGAGCCAAAAUCACUUAGCUUCAGUGAACAAUAUGAAAAAAAGAGUUACACAGUGACAUUCACUGCAACUUCUAUGCCAUCUGGUACCAACAGCUUUGCUCGUCUGGAAUGGUCGAGCGGGAAACAUGUCAUUGGGAGUCCGAUAGCUUUCAGCUGGACAUAAACGAAAUCUUGAGAAGUUGGAUGAAUGACUAUUAUUUUACAAGACAUCAAGUGCCUGAAAUUUAUGUAUGAUGAACGUUUUUACAUUCCCCUUCUAAUGUUCCAAGUUCCAACAACUGAUCCAGCAAUAGUUAGCUGGGUUUGUAAUUUCUCUCUCAGAUGAUCAAGGGUCAAAGAAAAAUGAGGGAAAAAUAACUGCACAGAAAACCAAGCAAUUAAUUGCAUGUGAUGUUAAAAUGGAUUUCAGGC
rnacentral:misc_RNA from 1 species